GAUGAACGCUGGCGGCGUGCUUAACACAUGCAAGUCGAACGAUGAAGCUGGAGCUUGCUCUGGUGGAUUAGUGGCGAACGGGUGAGUAACACGUGAGCAACCUGCCCCUGACUCUGGGAUAACAGCCGGAAACGGCUGCUAAUACCGGAUAUGCACCAUGAACGCAUGUUCUGUGGUGGGAAAGAUUUUUCGGUUGGGGAUGGGCUCGCGGCCUAUCAGCUUGUGGGUGAGGUAAUGGCUCACCAAGGCGUCGACGGGUAGCCGGCCUGAGAGGGGGACCGGCCACACUGGGACUGAGACACGGCCCAGACUCCUACGGGAGGCAGCAGUGGGGAAUAUUGCACAAUGGGCGAAAGCCUGAUGCAGCAACGCCGCGUGAGGGAUGACGGCCUUCGGGUUGUAAACCUCUUUUAGCAGGGAAGAAGCGAGAGUGACGGUACCUGCAGAAAAAGCGCCGGCUAACUACGUGCCAGCAGCCGCCGUAA
rnacentral:rRNA from 1 species